rnacentral:lncRNA from 1 species
GCUACGUAUCUCAAAAAAACAAAAACAAACAAAAAAACCAAACCAACAACAACAGAACACCACACACCAGCGAACUGCGCAUCCGUCGUCUAUGGAGGUGACAUAGAUUUCAGGGCUGUCCCUCCAGGCCCCACAUUUCCCUACCACCAGAUUCAGCCCUUGCUUCCUUUGCCUGCAGAUUUACCGUUCUUGAUGACCCAACAAUCUUGACACCACCGCUCUUCCUCCUUCACCAGCAGAGGGGUUUUAGAGACUGGGUCUCAUGUACCCCAGACUGGCCUUCAUAGAUUUUUUUUUUUUUUUUUGGGUUUUGGUUUUUCGAGACAGGGUUUCUCUGUAUACCCCUUGCUGUCCUGGAACUCACUUUGUAGACCAGGCUGGCCUCGAACUCAGAAAUCCGCCUGCCUCUGCCUCCCGAGUGCUGGGAUUAAAGGCGUGCACCACCACGCCUGGCUAGAUUUUUUUAUAUAGUGCUGUGGAUAGAACCCAGGACUUUGUGGAUGUUAGGCAAGCGCUCUAUAGACCGAGCUACCUCUCCAGCCCAGAAGCAGGGCUCAGAUGAGGCCUACAGCAAUGUUUUUCCAGCUCCUGCUUCCAAUGCAUAAAAUGGGAGCAUUGGACCAGCGAGCCCAUCCAGCUGCAACAUUCUUUGCCUCCGAUUCUGCAAGAUGCUGAUGAGGGAGCUGAGCAGGGCUGGACUCUGGAGUUAAUGAGGUUCUCUGGAGCUACCUAGGCUUGCAUCCUGCUAGGCUCUGUAUCCAGGAAACCAGACAAGGCUGAAAACCAGGGCAGGGGCUUGGCAAGGUCUGUACUGGGGGCUGAGAGAGGGGAACCUGACGGGCGAGGGAGCCUGGUGAGCAGGAGGAGGAGGAGAUUAAAGGGGAAAUAUAAUCAAAUAAGUGAUGUAUUUCUGCAGAAAAGCUUCUCCCUGUCCUGGGAUAGCUCACCAGAUGUUGCCCAGAUGUUGCUGGUGAUGGGAAACAUCUCCCUCAGGGAUCUCAUCUGAACUCUUCCUGUUGGUGGGGAAUGAAGUAUCUGUUCCAAGGCAGGCAGGGUCGGGUGUGGAGCACUCAUCUGUAAAUAUGGCGCACGCGCACACACACACACACACAGAGUCUCUCUCUCUCUGGCAAAAACACCCCCAUAUUCUCAAUCCUCAGGGAAUUCUGAAUACUUGGAGACCUGUAAGUACUAAGGACCACCCACCCAUCCACUUACUUAGGAAAAUUAAAAUUAUUACAAGUUUUGAGGGCUUUUAUUGGGGGGGGGCAGAGUUUUUCAGUGUAACCCUAAUUAUCCUGGAACUCGAUCUAUAGACCAGGCUGGCUUCAAACUCCAGGAUCUGCCUGCUUCUGUCUCCAAGUGCUGGGAUUAAAGGUGUGCACCACC